UGUCGCUGGCCUUCAAGGUCGUGCACGCCCGGGCCCUCUCACAAUCCAUCUCACCCUUUGUGCAUCACCGCGUGGGUCCCCUUUGCGGGAGGGCUCACGUUUUAACAUAAAAACUCGAUACAGUGUAGAAUGUUUAUUUUUGCGGUCACACGCGAUCAAUACAACUUUCAACAACGGAUCUCUUGGCUCUCGCAUCGAUGAAGAACGCAGCGAAAUGCGAUACGUAAUGUGAAUUGCAGAAUUCAGUGAAUCAUCGAAUCUUUGAACGCACCUUGCGCCCCUUGGCAUUCCGAGGGGCACACCCGUUUGAGUGUCGUGAAAUCCUCAAAACCCCUCUUCUUUGGGAGUUUUGGAAUUGGAGGUUUAAUGCUCGCUUUUGCCUUUGAAAGUGAGCUCCUCUCAAAUGAAUCAGUGGGGUCUGCUUUGCUGGUCCUUGACGUGAUAAGAUGUUUCUACGUCUUGGAUUUGGCAUCGUCCCUGCUCCUAAUCGUCUCAUGGACAAUGAUGGUGCUUCCGGUCACCGCCAUCCACAUCGGCGGGAGGCUGGACCCACAAAAAGAAAACCUUGACCUCAAAUCGGGUGAGACUACCCGCUGAACUUAAGCAUAUCAAAA
rnacentral:rRNA from 1 species